rnacentral:lncRNA from 1 species
ACUUUCAUGUGUGCUUCACUCGGCAAAAGGCACUUGAAAAAAGACCUCUACCGUGUUUCCGACUAAAUUAUACACUGGAAGAUGUACAGACGAUUCGGGUAUAGUGCAGGGACAAGUCAAUCACACACAUGUUAUCCUAUAUAUGACUGAAAGCUUAUUCAUACGAACAUAACAACAUAGCUUUAUUCAUAACUUUUACAACUAAUAAUUAAUAUCACAACUUCUCAGUAGUUAAUCGUCUGGAUUUUAUUUAUCACUGUAUACACUCUGAUUUUCGGCCUGCUUUAUGCAUGAGGAGCCUUGGCAGCCACCUACAUGGUCUUACGGUGUGGCAUAAGUGGCGGCAGCGGCCGGUGGCUCAUAGCCUGGCUGCCUCGGCGGCCCGUACCUCGGCGACCGAGGACCAAUGAUUUGCGUACGGGAUCCGUCCAGAACAGCUACACCUAUGAACAUGAUCAAUCGUCAUUCCGGCCGCCUCAUCUUAGAAAAUUCCCUUACAAAAAUGGCAUGCACACAGUUCUUUACGUACCUUCUUGGACCGCUGCUGAGCAUGGCGACGGCAUGAAACAGUAAACGAUAGCUAGGAACGCCAUAGCUAAUGCUAGGGAAGAAGAACGGUGCAUAUUCUCAUCUGCCCGGCUUCUCAGUGCGUACGUUGUUCACUUUGUGGGCCAUAUGUUAA